rnacentral:tRNA from 1 species
CAGGUAUUAGUUUUAAAAAAAAUUUUAAUUUUGGAGAUUAAUGAUGGAGGUUUCUUUAUAUCUGA